rnacentral:rRNA from 1 species
GACGAACGCUGGCGGCGUGCCUAAUACAUGCAAGUAGAACGCACAGUUUAUACCGUAGCUUGCUACACCAUAAACUGUGAGUUGCGAACGGGUGAGUAACGCGUAGGUAACCUGCCUGGUAGCGGGGGAUAACUAUUGGAAACGAUAGCUAAUACCGCAUAAUAUUAAUUAUUGCAUGAUAAUUGAUUGAAAGAUGCAAUUGCAUCACUACCAGAUGGACCUGCGUUGUAUUAGCUAGUAGGUGAGGUAACGGCUCACCUAGGCGACGAUACAUAGCCGACCUGAGAGGGUGAGCGGCCACACUGGGACUGAGACACGGCCCAGACUCCUUCGGGAGGCAGCAGUAGGGAAUCUGCGGCAAUGGACGAAAGUCUGACCGAGCAACGCCGCGUGAGUGAAGAAGGUUUUCGGAUCGUAAAGCUCUGUUGUAAGAGAAGAACGGGUGUGAGAGUGGAAAGUUCACACUGUGACGGUAUCUUACCAGAAAGAGACGGCUAACUACGUG